UAGCAAGUCACUAGCAUGAUUUUAGCAUGACUAGCAAAGUCGCUAGCAGGAUUUAUGCAUGACUAGCAAGUCGCUAGCAUGAUUUUAGCAUGACUAGCAAGUCACUAGCAUGAUUUUAGCAUGACUAGCAAAGUCGCUAGCAGGAUUUAAGCAUGACUAGCAAGUUGCUAGCAUGAUUUUAGGAUACAUUAUUGGAUAGAUAGAUAGAUAAGGUUUGAAGAUAGAUAGAUAGAUAGAUAGAUAGAUAGAUAGAUAAGGUUUGAAGAUAGAUAGAUAGAUAGUUAGAUAGAUAGAUAGAUUAGUUAUUAGUUAGAAAGAACAUAGAUAGCUUAAAGCUUAAUUGAGUAUCAAUGGCUUCUAGCAGUUUACAUUAAACAUAGUUCAAACAGACAUGGACUUUUGGUCAAUGAAAGUCUAUGGGACUUUUUAUGAUUUUUAAUAUUCAUUUUUAAGAAAACCGUAACUCAAACCAGUCUGAAAAGAUAUAGCACACUAAGUCAGAACAGUAUGAAGAUCUGACCCGAGUUUGGAGUAUGUAGCUUGAACGGUCUAGGAGGAGUUAGUGUCCAAAAAAUUUGCGCUCAGAAAAAUAAGAAGAAGAAGAAGAAGAAGAAGAAUAAGUUUAAAUAGGAUUUCAGUAAGUUGGCUUUCCCAAGCCAACUUAAUUAGUCUAUUUACAGAUGAAACUGACCUGCACUUGAGAUCCUGAACAGUUUUGCUUCUCUGCUUCACCUAGGCACUUCCACUCCAUUCUCAAAUCUCUCGCAUUGAUUACUCUGAUUGAAACUGUUUGGUGAAGGCAUGGAGCGUGCAAACUGAAGUUUAGCAUUGUCAGUCACAACUAACCCAUUCAUGAUUUAUUAGAGAUUUAUUAUUGAAUUGCCAAUUCGGAAAUAAUCGCUUUAGUAUGUUCAACAGGCAAUUAUAUAAUAAUAAUAAUAAUUAAGAAAAAAAUCAAGGCAGCAGGCCAAAUCAGCUGUCAAUUCUCCCCAUUCUCCCGAUGGCCAGUUCGUGCCUAGUUAUCAAGGUUCAGGCUUUUUAAGGCCUUUAAGCAAGUAUAGACAUUUUAAGAUGAUUUUUACCCAAAAAGACAAAAAAUAAUAAAUAAAAUCACUAGAAAUAAUAUUUAAUUAUUUAUCACUUUUAACCAAUAGGUGGCACUGCUCCCAAAUUGAUGUGAUGUGGUUACCUACGGGUGAGGAUGACACACACAUAGUUUGGUGCCAGUAUUUCAAAGAAAGACAGAGAAACAGAGCCUAGAUCAUUUAGGCAUUUUUCAUAUCUCCUGAUCUCUAGGUGGCACUGUGCUGAAACUGUGCAGGUAACCUCAGGACAUGGUCAUAAAUUCCAAGUUUGGUCUGAACAUGAUAAAGUAUUGAGGAAAUAUAGCCUCAUGUCCACUUUGGCGAGGUCUUCGUUAAAUUUAUUUGUGCGUUAUUUAAAGGAGAAGUCCACUUCCAAAACAAAAAUUUACAGAUAAUUUACUCACCCCCUUGUCAUCCAAGAUGUUAAUGUCUUUUUUACUUCAGUCGAUAAAAAAUUGUUUCUUGAGGAAAACAUUCCCGAAUUUUUCUCCAUAUAGUGGACUUCAGUAAUGCCCCCACAGUUUGAACUUCCAAAAUGCAGUUGAGGUACAGCUUCAAAUUAGGGCUGUCACGGUUGCAAUGACAACCAUGCCACCGCGGUCAUCGAUUGCCACCGGCAGUACUGCGUGUGACAUCACACAGUCUAUAACAAGCAUAAAAUACAGUGUUUCUGCAACAAUUAUUCUGCCGUGGCCGUGUUUAGUGUCCACGCCUGCAGCAGCAGCGAGUGCAAGUGCCUUCGCAGCUGCUGGAAGAGAUCCGCGUUCAAACGCACACAAUAGGCUAAAGCUUGCAAAGCUCCGGGAAAAGUAUUUACCAUGAAUGUGUCGGGGGGAAAUAAGGAGAUACUUGAAUGAAUUACUAAUAAACUAGUGUUAUCUGAGCCUGUGUCGCAAAGAUGACGAUUCUGACUCGCCAUCUGCUCAUUGGACACACCUUUAUAGAGAAAUGCAUCUCUACGGAUUUUAUAAUGAAAAAGUUUUUGUUUUCGAUUUGAUUUUUUUUUAGUUUUAAAGUAGUAAAGUAACAAUUUAAAGCUUUCUAUAGAUAUAUUUAUCCUGACUGUAAGGCAAGUAGUCACUGAGUUUCGUUUAAUUUUUGUGCAGCGCUCCUGUUCAACACCGAGACAUCAGAAAGCGCAUCUUGUUUGUAUUCUUUAUUUUUACAAAAGCACAACAUUUUGUUGAUAUUGUGAGUGCACACAAAUAAUAUGAGACCCUUUAUAGUUCCGGAUGAUAUAUUACGCUUACCUUUAUGAGCAAAGAUUAUGGCGUAUUUUAACUUUUUUGCAAGUGAUUGCGCUGGCGCCUCCAUGUCCUGCAAAGCGCAUUUUGCUUCCACUCUCCAACAAACGAGUGUAUGCGCAUAAUAGCGUGCAUUUAUCUAAGUUAUUUGUGAUAUGUGAUACAAUAUCAUUGUGAUAUGCUUGAAGAUUUUAUUUUAGGCAAGUCGUGAUGAUUUGAGAAGGCAAAAUUGAUCGAACAUAGGCUGUGAUCAACUGCCUGCCUCUGGCCGCUUGGUCGUUACUUUAAAAAGUUACUUUACCUUAAUUUAACAAACAAAAAAUGUCCCAAACGUAUUUCUAAAUUAACUUUAUAAAGAAACAAAAAGAAAUAUAAUCACAUUCCUAUUAAAAACAAAACUGAGGUAUUUUAAUGGAUGCAACAGUAUAAUGGGAAAGAGAGAGAAGACUCGGGCUCCAGUCGGACUCGGGCCGGUAAUUUUGAUGAGCCGUCGGACAAGGGUUGGGCGAGGUUGUUACGAAUUUAUGCAACAAAUGUUUUUAAUAUUUACCAUUCUUAUUUUGGCUACUUUCUUUUUUAACUAUAUAAUUUCUUUGAUAUUUACUUUAGUGUUUUGUAGGCUGAAAUAAACAUGCACGUUUAUUAAUAAUUUUUGAGCCUCAUUUUUUUAUGUUUCAAAAUUAUAUAUAUAUAUAUAUAUCUGAACACCGCAUGACCGACGGUAGUUUGUCCAUGGCAGUGGAAAAAAUCUGCCACCAUCACAGCCCUACUUCAAAUGGCUCUAAACGAUCCCAGUCGAGGUAUCUAGCAAAACGAUCUGUCAUUUUUAAAACAAAUUGACAAUUUAAUUACUUUUUAAUAGGGGUGUGACGAGACACUAAUCCCACGAGACGAGACGAGACACGAGAUUGGGUUCACGAGAACGAGACGAGACAAGAUUUUUAAACUUUUCUUAAGAAAUCCUCAAUGAUGAAAUAUAUUGGGAAAAUAGUCUUUUAUUCAACUGAAAAACAAAAAUGCAAAAAAAUUAAGGUGCAUUUUGAACUUUAUGAAAUUAAACUUCAAUUUUAAUGAAUAAUAUGCAGUAAUAAACAACAUUUAAACAAGAGCUUCAUGAUUCUGGAUAAAUUGAGAAUCCUAGUUGUUUUUUAUAAAUGGGAGAUUACGAUUCUCUCACGAUUCUGGAGAAAAAAAGAUUAGAAAACUAAACAAAAUAACUAUUUACUAGUGGUUCUGACAAACUUUUCAUUGCUUAAGUCUUUUAAAAACAUAUAUUCAUUUAAACAAAACAAAACAAAACAAAAAACAUUCAAUAAAGGAGAGUGUCUCACUUCAUUAAGACUUCUUUGACUAUUGAAAUCUCCUGAAUGAAUGAUUCAAUGACAUACUUUUUUUUUAAACGGGCAGUUGUCGCCACCUCCUGGCGGAAGAGGAGAAGCGUUACAAUAGAUACACGUGUUAAAAUACUUUAAUUUUGAUCGCUACUGUAGACAAUAAGUGUUUAUACCCAAACUAUAAACUUUUAUCCCAGUACUUCUAUUAUUUAAAUAUCUGUAACACAGAAAUAAUGAUUAUAAUGUGGUUGAAAAGACUGUUUGUGUUGCUCUUUCUGCGUUCACAUUUACUCCGACCUUCUGAUUCAUUAAUAUGGGCAGCGACAAAACCUGCUUCUCACGCUCCACUGACACUGGCGAUGUGAAACAGUCCUAAUAGACAUAGAUAACUCGUUGUCAUUUAGGAAUAAAAUCGCGUGGGUGUUUGAAUCGACACCUCAAUAUUUUAAGGAUUAAUAGUGCAAUGUAAACAUGGCAAAAUGUUGUGGGAGGAUACUGUCACGAGAUCUCGCGAGAUCCGACUGGUCUCGCGAGACACAUCGGAUCUCGCGAGAUCUCGUGCCACGAGAUCUCGUCACAUCCCUACUUUUUAACCUCAAACACUUGUCUUGUCUAAGUCUGCGUUAACUCUGUUUUUUUUUUUUUCAAUACGGUUGAAAAACUCCCAUCUUGUUUUCUUUCCUAACUUCAAAAUCGUCCUACAUCACUGCAGAAGUACCAACCCAGUGUUUACAAAAUGAACAUGCAGAGAAGAUUAAACGGCCUUUACAAAAAAAAAAAAAAAAAAAACGCUAAAACAGCAAUGUAGGAUGACUUUGACGUUGAAGAAAAUGAGAUGGAAGUUUUCCCACAUACCCUAACUAUAUUGACCCGGAUUACACAGACUAUGCAUGCACAUCGCAAACAUGAGACAAGACGGUUGAGCUUAAAAAAAGUAAAUAAGUUGUCAAUUUGUUUAAAAAAUGGUUUCGCUAGGUAAGAAAAAAAAUCGUUUCGCUAGGUAAGACCCUUCUUCUUUGGCUGUGAUCGUUUAGAGCCAUUUAAAGCUGCUUUUAAAUUGCAUUUUAGAAGUUCAAACUUGGGGGCACCAUUGAAGUCCACUACAUGGGGAAAAAUUUGGGAAUGUUUUCCUCAAGAAACAUGAUUUCUUAUCGAAUGAAGUAAGAAAGACAUUGAACAUCUUGGAUGACAAGGGGUGAGUAAAUUAUUUGUAAAUUUUUGUUCUGGAAGUGGACUUCUCCUUUAACUCCCUGGGGUCAAUGGUCGUGCCAGCAUGAUCAGCUCAGUCUUUUUUAAGGUCAGUGCAAAAGACACUAAAAGCACUAAAAGUCGAUUUUGGUCACACAAAUAAGAGUUGUACAUAAUUCAAAACCAUUAAGUGUCUACUUUUAUUUGUGUACACUCACAAUAACAAAACUCUGUGCUUUUGUAAAAUAAAGAAAACAAACAGGGUGUGCUCUGUUUGAAUUAAACUCAGUGAAUACUUGACAAACAGACAUUUCUUUCCCAUCUGAGCUAAUUAUUUUUAAUGUGAUCACGCCCAUGAGCUACUUUCUCUUUUGAUAUUAAAAUCGUCCACGUGAGAUGUGUGGACUUGUAAAUGCCCACAUCAUCUCCAUAAACGAAGCUUGACAAUUCAUCAAGUUCAUCUCGGUAACUGUUCAUUUGUGGAUGAAGACGCACUGAGAGGAAUAACCCAGAAUUUAGCUCAGAAAAAAGAACAAGAUGUGACGUGCAACUUGAUCCAGCAGAGGAGAUCAUGCUGAUGAUGACCUGCACCACAGGUGAAUCCUGCUGACUUUUACUUGAGUCUCUUCAAACUGUUUUCCUCUGAGAGUGCUGUACCAACAUCAGAUGUUCAACUACACUGUUAUUCUAUGGUAAAACAAGCUCCCUGACUACUGAUGAUGGUGUUUCCAUGAAUCCAUGGAAAGAAGAAGCAAACACUUAAAUAUCAGGUAGCCUAUGGUGUACUGGUUUCACUUGUUAAACAGAAUCUGUUUUUAGGAAGGACACAAAGUCUGUUCACAUCUCUGUGGUUAGAUCAGUGUAUAAUGUAUCAUAAUGUGUCUUUGAUCUUCA